rnacentral:rRNA from 1 species
UACAGAGGUCUCAAGCGUUGUUCGGAUUCAUUGGGCGUAAAGGGUGCGUAGGCGGCGCGGUAAGUCGGGUGUGAAAUUUCGAGGCUUAACUUCGAAACUGCAUUCGAUACUGCCGUGCUUGAGGACUGGAGAGGAGACUGGAAUUUACGGUGUAGCGGUGAAAUGCGUAGAUAUCGUAAGGAAGACCAGUGGCGAAGGUGGGUCUCUGGACAGUUCCUGACGCUGAGGCACGAAGGCCAGGGGAGCAAACGGG